GCCCUCUUGGCGGAACUGGUAGACGCAACGGACUUAAAAUCCGUCGUUCGCGAGGACGUGCCGGUUCGAGUCCGGCAGAGGGCACCA
rnacentral:tRNA from 1 species